GGGGAUUUGGCUCAGUGGUAGAGCGCUUGCCUAGGAAGCGCAAGGUCCUGGGUUCGGUCCCCAGCUCCA
rnacentral:tRNA from 1 species